AAGCAUCUAAAGUGCCGAUCUGGAGGUCGCGUUCACAUAGAAAAUGCUUUCCAGUUCAAUUUCCUGAAGCGAGAUGGUGAUGUUGAAAUUAAAACAGAAGAGCUAUAUCCAAAUAAAGACAUGACACAAAUAUGUAGCGCUGAACGAAGGGUGUUACUUUACUUAGACCAUGACAUGGUGUUUAUUCCGAUAAACAUCCGAGAGACGCACUGGUAUCUUGUCGUGAUCCAUGCAAGAAAUAUGGAGAUACAAGUGCUCGAUUCACUUGGUACUUCACAAGACCGCAAAGACCUCACUGACUCUAUUAAAGGACUGCAAAGACAAAUAGAUAUGAUAUCUCAAUGUAAGGAGUUAAAAGACCACAGGUGGCCAGACCUCCAAGUUGCUUCUUGGCC
rnacentral:misc_RNA from 1 species